rnacentral:rRNA from 1 species
GACGAACGCUGGCGGCGUGCUUAACACAUGCAAGUCGAACGGAAAGGCCCUGCUUUUGUGGGGUGCUCGAGUGGCGAACGGGUGAGUAACACGUGAGUAACCUGCCCUUGACUUUGUGAUAACUUCAGGAAACUGGGGCUAAUACCGGAUAGGAGCUCCUGCUGCAUGGUGGGGGUUGGAAAGUUUCGGCGGUUGGGGUUGGACUCGCGGCUUAUCAGCUUGUUGGUGGGGUAGUGGCUUACCAAGGCUUUGAUGGGUAGCCGGCCUGAGGGGGUGACCGGGUCCAUGGGGCUAGGGGAGGGCGCCGGCCGGCCUCGGGCGGAAGGGGCGGGAAACUGGCGGAGAAGGGGCGCGGCCUUGAGGAACAACGCCGGGUGGGGGAACGCGGCUUUCGGGUGGGAACCCAUUUGCCCCUGGCAAGAAGCGUGAUGACGGUAACUGGUUAAAAAACCACGGCUAACUACGUG